UUUUCAAAGCAAGUGCGGUUUAUUUUUACCGAGAAAUCGAAUGAUGUCGGUUUAUGGAAAUUUUUCCAAGCAUAAUAUUUUUUUUAAAUUAUUUUUCCUACGAAGAGGAAUAUUAUAAUUGAGUGAGUGCACUAAUAAUAGUGCUAUAAUUAUUAUUUUGGUCACAUGAAUAAUUAUACUAUGGUAUUUUAUUAAUGAGUGACAUUUCCAUAGUUAUUGUGAUUUUUAUUUAAUCACCCUUCUCACACUUUAUUUUAAUUUCACUACCAUAUGUUAUAUGCCUUAAAUGACUAAGUAUAGAGUUUGAGAGAGUAGAGAUUGAGAGUAUAUUAUGGAGAGUGUAGAGAUUAGAGAGAGAUUAGAGAGAGAGAGAUCAUCCAUUAAUUGCAAAUAUUCUCCAAGAUUUGGAAAUCUCCUUUAAAGAUCACAAGAUCAAAUUCAAUCUUGCAAAGCCAAACCUCUCUCUCCCUCACUACAAUUUUCGGCCAUCAUCUCUCUCCCUCACACACAUUUUCUCCCAACACACACUCAUCUUCUCCAUUUAUCAAUUCCACCAUUUUCCUCCAUUGAUGGAAACCUUCGAAGCUUCCUAAAAUAUUACCAAACACUUCAAAUCACUCUAAUAUCCUCCAUAAACCUAUUCUAUCCACUUAUAAUCAAGAAAAUCCUUGAAGAAGAAGCUCCAAAGUAGAGUGAGAAAGUGAGAAUUUUGGUGAGAACUUGGGCCCGAGCGAGACGAAGAAGUAAGUUGCCUGAUUUCUUUCCAGAAUAAGCGAAGGACUUCAGGCUAAGCGAGGAGCGAGAUUGGUCUGGUGCUAGUGGGGGAAACGUUUCAAUCGAUGUAAUUAUGUUUUCGUAUUGCCUUCAUGUUAAUAGAGUCUUGAGGAUUGAGAUACUUUGUUUUCUUUUGAAAUCAAGCAAUUUACUCACGGUUAUGUGUCUUCAUACAUGUAAUCGAUUCGCCUUUUGCUGCGAUACUCUGCAUUUUAUGAUUCCUUAUGAAAAAUGAGCUAUACCCGUUUUGUUUU